rnacentral:rRNA from 1 species
UACGAAGGGUGCAGGCGUUAAUCGGAAUUACUGGGCGUAAAGCGUGCGCAGGCGGUUUGCUAAGACAGGUGUGAAAUCCCCGGGCUUAACCUGGGAACUGCGCUUGUUACUGGCAGGCUUGAGUGUGGCAGAGGGGGGUGGAAUUCCACGUGUAGCAGUGAAAUGCGUAGAGAUGUGGAGGAACACCGAUGGCGAAGGCAGCCCCCUGGGCUAACACUGACGCUCAUGCACGAAAGCGUGGGGAGCAAACAGG